AGCUUUGUGCAGUGGCAGUAUUGUAGCCAAUGAGGUUUAUCCAUGGAGCGAUUAUUGCUAAUUAAGCAUGUGUGUCUGAUUUAUUUCACUUAACAUUGUGAUCUCAAGGUGCAGCUGGUUUCUGACACUUUCCUACAUUGCAUAUGAAU
rnacentral:snRNA from 1 species